rnacentral:lncRNA from 1 species
UAAUUCACAUUCAUUACUUCGUUUGUUAAAACAAACAACAAAGAGCCAGUCAUUUUACCAAAAAAAAAAAAAUUAGUUGAUUUAGGAAUAGUAGUGCAUUGCUGUCUAGGACAAAUAAACUAAGGCAAACUCUAGGAACGUCUGGAGAACUGAGGUGAGAGACUUGCUUUUAUAGAGGAAAAAUGGGAAGAUGGGAGGGGCUGCUUCCAAGUGUCCAGGUUAGUGAUAGGUUCUCAUUGGCGAGGCUGUUGCUGGGCCAGGAGAAGUUCUUCCUUCCUACCAGUGGGGUUUGAGUAGUGGUGCAUGUAAACUCCCUUUUCAGGGUUUCCUGACUCCAUUGUAAAUUGUUUCCUUUAUUCUCAUAUUUUCCCCUUUUGAUCAAAAUCUUGCCUCAAAAGCAUUUCUGAUCAGGGGUCAGGUUCUCCAUAUUAAUUGGUUUCAUCAUUUUUUUUUUUUUCCUUCUUUGUCUUUCCUGGGUCAGGAAUCAGAUCCUAGCCACAGUUCUGUUCUAUGCUAUAGCUGCAGCAACACCAGAUCCUUUAACCCACUGUGCUGGGCUGGGAAUCAACCCCAUGUCCUGGUGCUGAAGAGAAGCCGCUGGUCCCAUUACACCACAGUGGGAACUCCUGGUUUCAUCCUUUGAUGCCAGAAAGAACUUUUUCUGGUUGUCAUGCCCCCCGCUCUGGACACUGGAAGGAAAAUGCACAAGUUGGAAACCAGUGAAGCCGUAUUUGUAUAACAAGAAAGGGUAGGAGAGAGAACUCUCAGCCAUUUUCCGUCUCAGAUAAGUAUUGGAGAUGAUCAUUCUUUUGAGUACAUUACUUCUGCAGAGAUUUGAUAGCCAACAGGUACAAAGUUUAGCAAAAUAGCAAACCUAGUUUUUAUAAUAAUAAAAAGCCAGGAACCAAACUUGAAGUCAACCAACUAAAGAGGUCAAAGGACCAUGGAUUAGGACCAUGGGUUAGGACCAUGCAUUGUCAGGUGAUGAUUGGCAAAUGUAAAACAAUUGGCGAGUGUGAACACUUCUUUAUACCAGCCUAAUCUGAUAGGUAAGACCCAUAGACUCGAGAGCUGGUGUUUGGGAUCAAAGGAAGACCAAGGGACCUCUGACAUCAUGAACAGACUGAGUUUCUGGCAGCAGUUAGAAAAACUUUCCCUAUUUGCAACUGAUUGGACCAAGAAAAAGAGGGAGAAGAUGAUAGCAAGAAAAAGCUAAACAGGCCUGCUUAGGUCAUCUUGGGAAAGCUGUCUGUCAGAUGUCACCUGCUUUGGUUCCUGAAAAUUUUUCUUUUGGGUCACCAGAUAGUGGGCAGAUCAUGUUAGGACUUGUUGUUUUCUUAGAUCUGAUUCCUGGUGACAUGAGUCUAUUCUUUGAAGUUUUGUAGCACAAGGAUUAGUUACCUGAUAGGGCCUUUCCUGUGGGGUUGGGGAGUAUAUUUCUGGAAAUAUCUUUUCCAGUAGGCAAAAUCUCUGGGUUGCAAGGUGUGAUAUUUAAGGUCUCCAUCUUCCAGCAGUGCAGAGUAUAGAUUGAUCUACUAAAGCAUGCUUAUUUUCAACAGAAGCAAUUAGGCCUUUACAGUAUUGAGUUAGAUCUCUUUUUAUCAGAAAGGUUUAUUUGGCUAACAACAUGAAAUAAUUAAGAAAAACACCUUUAAUUUAUUAAUUAAUUCAUUUGCUUAUCAGUUAUAUUUACUGAAUAUCCACUAUGUGCAAGUAUUAUUCUAGACCAGGGGUUGGAAAACUUUUUUUCAAUAAAAGAUCAGAUAGUAAAUAUCUUUAGUUUGAGGGUCUCUGUUACAUUAACUCCAUUCAGCCAAAGUAGCUACAGAUAAUAGGAACCGGCAUUGUGUUGCAAUAAAACUUUAUUUACACAUACAAGAGUAGAGUGUAUUUGGCAAACUCCUAUUCUAGAAACUGAGGAUAGAGUAGUAAUGAUAUAAACUGCUCCUUUUAUGAGUCUGUAUUCUACCAUAAACACACAAGUUGUCUCUUAGGCAGUAAUAAAUAUAUUAAAGCAAAACAAGUCAGAGCAAGGGGACACAGAAUGAAUCUUCUUGCAUGUUAUCAAUUAUAUACCAUUCCUAUUGAACAUUGCUUAGAUGUACACCCUGGAGGCUUCUUUACAGAUGUACUUAAAUCAAACAUUUUCUUAACUCAAAUGUUCCUUAGCUAUUCUGAAUAAAUCUAAAUCUUCAAUAUGUCUGAAUGGUUGAUAGAUCAGAACUCCUAACUGGUCUGUCCAAUGGACAUAUCUCACCUCAACUUAAUGUAUUUCAAUUUCUUCUUUCUUAAAACUCUUUCUUCCUUUCCCUUCUAGUGUAUUUAUAUCUUGGUUCUUCUCUUCCCUUGGCGGCCAUUGUCAAAUCUUUUUAGACUUUUUUUCUCUGCUCAGUUCCAUAAAGCUAAUCUUCAGCACUGUCCUGGGUCUAUAUAUUCUCCUUCAGGAAUCUCUUUUAUUACCAUGGCUUUAGCUAUCACCUUUAUGGACCUAGGCCAUUCCCCAAAACUCCAUCUCUGGCAUACCUUUAUCUCCUGAAUUUUGAGCUCCUAUCUUCAACUCCUGUGGAAAAUCUCCUUUUACAUACACGAGAGUGGCUUCAAGUUCAACAGUCCAAAAUCAAAUGUACUUGAACACUGUUUCUCUGUUUUCUCUCAAUGAACAGUCACCAGUCACUUAGUCUUGAGAGCCAUCUGCCAAUUCAUCAGUAUAGCUGGACCUGAGUUAACCAUAAUUAUGUCAGCCUAAUGGUGAUAAAAACUCACAUGCUCAACAUUAUUUUGUAGGAAAAGCAUGGAUGAGGCAGUUGCCAAAAGGAGAGUCUCAUCCCAGUUCUCUCACGUACUAAGUGAAUUACAAGCAUGUAACUUUUCAGAACCUUUGUUCUCUUAUCGCUAUAACUAGGAUAAUCCUACCUUCUUCAAAAUGGCAAUAUCAAUGUGAAAUGACCCAUGGAUCUAUAAUUCUACUAGCACUGUAUAAUUUACAAAUAAAUAUUUUAUCCCUUAUAUCUUUUUUCCUUUUUCUUUUAUAAUUUUUUUUAAGAACCACCUUACUUGAGUUUAUAAUAAAGAAGAAAGAUAUAGGCAUAUGAAGAUGAAUGUAGAUAGGUCCUUGAUUUAGCAACUCAGUGUGUGUAUUGAGCUCAAUGUGGGGGGAGCAUAUAAAUAAAUAACCAAAUACAGUGAGACACAAAAUUUAGUGUUAGUUCAGUUUCCUCCCCAUUCAUGGUCUCCUGAGCCUUGUAAUUAAUUCAGGAUGGUAAAAAAGCUGACAUUCAAAAGGUGUUAACACUUUGAAGUCAUUCUUUCGGUAGUUUUCUUUAUACUAUGACACAGUCACUUGUCAAAAACUGCCAAAUCAAAGGUAAUUAAAUGAAUCAGUGACAUGAAACAUGUUGUUUUGAACUGACUUGUGAGUUUUGUGACCAUAGGCAAGUUAUCUAAGUUCUUCAAUCCUCAUGAAAAUAAUAGCACCCACUUCAGAGGGCAAUUUUAAGAGAUGAAACAGGAUGAUACAGGUUAUUUUGUAGUAUAGUGGAUAGCAUACCAUGAGUGCUUAAUAGAGCAUAGUUAUUGUUGAUAUAAUUACAUCAACAAAAUUAAUGUCUGUUAUUCUCAGCCUGAGAUGGCCUAUCCUGUAAUAUGUAUAUAUGUACAUAGGUAGAUAUAAUUUAUUUACAAAAUUAAUUCAGCCUUUCUCGGCUUCUCCCAUAAGAGAAAUCUGAUGUCCUUUUCCCUCACCAGGAAGUGAAUGAUCCAAAGCCUCCUGCAGGAGCAGUGCAGGGACCUUGAGAUGGGAUUUUUAGUUAGAAAUACUGAAAAGAAACUGCCUGUCUCUGGCUUGUGAGGACGGAAACACUUCAUUGGAUCGUUAUUACCAUGUUGUGACUUUGUCUUUCUUUUUACCUAUUGUCACACAGAUAAAAUAACAAUGCAAAUGACACCAUGGGAGAGGAAAGUACUUGCCUCUCUAGUUCUCCUCUCUGGUUUCCACUCGUCCCCUCAUUUAUUUGACAAGGAAGGGCAAUUAUCCUUCCCUCUAAUCUCUACAGCUCAUGUUGCUUAUUUAUUAUUUUAAUUGGCAGUGAAUCCUGGGGACAAAGCAUAUCUCAGGCAAUCAGGCAUUACUUUAUAUAGCACUCAGAAGGCACAGGACCUUGUGCCAAAUGGUUAGCUGGUUUCAUUAAUAACAAAAAAAGCUAUUCCUGCAACCCCUUAUAUCUAAAUAUUUCCCCCAGAUGUUUUGCCAUCAUUGUGUUAACAGACCUCUACCAGAGCAGCAUGGGCAAACAAACUGGCCAUAAGGAUGGUAGAGAGGCACUUUAGGGAAAUGCCUAAAAUGUCUUCAUUUUCAGUUCCACCGACCAAUGGGAUCUCCCAAAGGAAAAUAUGAAAUUCUCCAGCUGUCGCUGCUUUAUUAAAAUCCAUCAUUGUGUCCUGGACAGCAGGAAAAGCCGGAAGGCAUGGACAAAUCUGGAAGAUUUUUAAAAAGAGAAACAAAAUGAACAGCCGAGAGAAAGAAGGGAUUAGUUAAAUCAAAAGCAAGCUGUUGGAUGCAUUUACCUAAGUUCGGCAACUUGAGAAAAUGCCUCCACGCUUCAUUCUUUGAAGUAAAUGCAGGGUAGAUCACUGUGUCAGUCCAUGAGGAACAAGAACCUGGAAGAGAGGAUACAUCUUCCAGAAACAGCUCGCAUCACCUAGAUUCUUGCUUCUCAAACUAGAACAGACCUACUCCUGGGAACCAAGACAGAGGGCUAGAGGUAUAUUAUGUG